AGGAGGAAGCGCACGCCCGCCCGCUGCCCUGCCCUGCGCCUGGGGCUCGCUAGCCCGCCGCCGGGCACCGCCGCUCCCGGAGCCCGGGCCUGGCGCCCCGGCCCCGCGGCCUUAACCCCUUCGCGCCCGCGGACGCCACGCGUCCGGGAGAGGCCGGGCCCUGGCACCUGCUGGCUGCGGGCGCGCGCGGCCACCCCGGCGCUCGAGGGCCCCGUUGGCCCGGGGACGCUGCUGAAGUCACACGCCAGACGACCGAGGCGCCGCGUGGGCCGAGAAGCCCGCGGGCUCGCCCCCUGGAGGUUGGCGACGUCCGCCCCGGCCGAGAGUGCCGCGCGGCAGCGGAGAGGGGCGUGGCGGCCGCAGGCCUCGCCGGACCCGCACAGGGUCGCGGGAGGGGGGCCGCGCUAGCAGUCUUUUGAACCUAAGUCCCGCAGCGAUUGGCCAGCCUAGAGGGAAUUGCAGCCAGUUUCACAGAGGAGGAAACUCAGGACCAGACUGGGAAGUGACUUAGACAAGGGCACGCGGCCAUACUUGGCUCCAGGCGCUUCUCCUGGCGCCCGCUCUUUCCACGUCGCCACGAGGUCUCCACGGAACCCCAUGUUGUAAAAGCUGUCUUCUCGAGGUUGGACGAACCCUGCCCUAGGACAAAAUCCUGCCGGGGCCCCCUGGAGGUGGGAAGAUGAGUGUUUUCUGCCAUCAUCAGACAUGGGGACCCAAGGUCAAGGAUUUCAAGGAUCACCUCUGCGAAGAUGCUUGCUGAGGUGACCACCAGAGGAGCCUCUCCCUGCAGGUGACACUCUGCCCCGAGCCUGCUGGGAAGGGCACAGAGCCCACCGGAAAAAUGACUCCUGAGCCAAAGAACACACAUCGGUCCCCACACUGAGUUGAAAACCUACAUCGACACAAACACCCACACGAGGUGUUUAUAGCGGUAAACAGCCUCGUUCGUAAUUGCCCAAACUUGGAAGCAACCAAGAUGUCCUUCAGCAGGGGAGUGGGUAACCCUCAACAGUACAUCCAGACAACGGAAUAUCAUUCAGCACUAAAAAGAAAUGAGCUCUCAAGCCAGGAAAAGACACGGAGGAACCUGACGCGCAUGUCAUGAAGUGAAGGAAGUCCGUCUGAAAAGGCCACAUACGAGAAAAUGAUUGACAGCAGCCACCUGCUGGGGCAAAGUCUGUCCCUGGCCUGGGAUGGAGACUGGACAGAGCAAGGACUCAGGCUAUAUUGGCUGUUUAUCUGCUGUACAUUGGGAUUCCGAAUAAUGCCUGCCUUGUUGCGAAGCUUAAAUGAGUAGCAUCCAAGAAAAGUGCUUAGGAAGGACCCCGGCACAGAGAAGGUGCUAUUUUUAACACUAACACCCUCUUUGCUCCCACCCUUCUCACGUGUGCAGGGCACCUAGGGCAUGGGGAAGGGGCUGCUUGACUUCAGGAUGCAAAGUGCAAAGCUGCCUCCCCGCAGCGGUGGAGGAAAGACGGAAAGACGGGGCUGCAGGAAUUCGUUAGCACCAAUUAACACCAUGAGGCUCCCUUCUGCUUUCACCCUGGUCUGCCUCCCUGCUGGCAUGGGGCCGAGAACCACAUGGCAGAGGAAGCAGCCAGGCCCAGGGGAUGAGGGGGAUGUUGUGGAACCAUCGGCUAAGACUGGGGGCCCCCCAGCAGGUAUUAUGCCUAGCUGGGCAGGAAGGUUCCAGAAAGCAGUGAGGCAGACACAGAGCAUCAGGCAGGCCUGGUCUUGGGGCCAUAGACAAAUGCCUCUUCCAGGCAGUGACCCUUUGUAGUGCAUCUGACAUCCAGUGUGGGGGUCAUCCCUUCCCUGACACAGAGAACUUGUAGCUAUGCUCUUGCAAUGAAAGAAAUAAUAAAAAUGGCUGGAAAAGAAA